UACGAAGGGGGCUAGCGUUGCUCGGAAUUACUGGGCGUAAAGGGAGCGUAGGCGGAUUUGUAAGUCAGGGGUGAAAUCCCGGGGCUCAACCUCGGAACUGCCUUUGAUACUGCAAAUCUCGAGUCCGGGAGAGGGAUGCGGAAUUCCAGGUGUAGCGGUGAAAUGCGUAGAUAUCUGGAGGAACACCGGUGGCGAAGGCGGCAUCCUGGACCGGCAUUGACGCUGAGGCGCGAAAGCCAGGGGAGCAAACAGG
rnacentral:rRNA from 1 species